rfam:Ophiocordyceps sinensis CO18 unplaced genomic scaffold OCS_Scf_8777, whole genome shotgun sequence.
ACGGGUAUAGGUUAAUGGUAGACUCACUGCUUUCCAAUCAGCAUGUGUCAGUUCAAAUCUGACUAUCCGUA